AUGUCGGCGCGCAGGCGGGCGGCUUCGCGCACGGCCUCAUCCUGCGCCCGCCGGCAGCCCCCAGCCUCGGCGCUGAGCUGCUCCAGCCGCUGCUCCAGGGCCACCCGUCGGCUCUCGCUGUCCCCCAGCUCCCUCCGCAGGCUCCCCGACACCUCCCGGGCCUCCUGGGGGAGCAACGGGGUCAGCGGUUGUCCUCCGUCCUCCCAGCCUUCUGUCCCUUCUCCUCCAUCCUUCCUCUGUGCAUCCAUCCGCCCGCCCUCCCAUCCGCCUGACCCCGUGUCCAUCCGUCUAUCCGUCCUCCCAUCUGUCUGUCCAUCCAGCCAUUCUCCUCCAUCCAUCCUCCAGGCAUCCAUCCACCUGCCCUCCAAUCCAGCCAGCCCCUGUCCGUCCAUCCGUCCGUCCGUCCAUCCAUCCACCCACCCACCCAUCUGUCUCCAUGUCCCUCCCCAAUUCUCCUCCUUUCAUCCUCCGUGCAUCCAUCCACCCAUCCGUCUUCCCCCACACCCAUCUUCCUCCUCCUCCUCCUCCUCCUCGCUCACCUGCAGCUGGAAGUGCCGGCGCCGCAGGGCUCCGUGCACAGCCCCCAGCGUGGCCGCAGCUGCAGCGGGCGAGAGGCUGCGGCAGGGGAGCCUCGGAGGCUCCGUCGGGGACCCAGGGUCAUCCGCCAGCACUGCCUGCGAGGGAUGGAGACAGCCGGGGGUGGGGGCAGCACCCACGGGAGGGGUGAGGCACUAUUCUGCAGCCCCAUGGGGGGGUCACGGCACCGGGGGGUCCCCACCUGUGCUCCAGCUGCUGGCGCGCAGCCUCGGCGGCACGGGCGGCCUCGUCCCGCUGCUCCUCCAGCCCCCGGCCGCGGCGCUGCAGCUCGGCCUCGCUGCGCUGCAGGACCCCCGCCCGCGCCUGCUCCGCCGCCAGCGCCUGCUCCACGCGGCUCCGCUCGCUGCCGGACAGACGGACACGCCGUGGGGACAGGCAGGUGGAGGGUGUGCAGGGACAGAGGCCACGGAUGGACAGAUGGACAGGCAGGGGGUACCUGCGCAGGAGCUCGAUGUCGGCGCGCAGGCGGGCGGCUUCGCGCACGGCCUCAUCCUGCGCCCGCCGGCAGCCCCCAGCCUCGGCGCUGAGCUGCUCCAGCCGCUGCUCCAGGGCCGCCCGCCGGCUCUCGCUGUCCCCCAGCUCCCGCCGCAGGCUCCCCGACACCUCCCGGGCCUCCUGGGGGAGCAACGGGGUCAGCGGUUGUCCUCCGUCCUCUCACCCUUCUGUCCCUUCUCCUCCAUCCUUCCUCUGUGCAUCCAGCCACCCGCCCUCCCAUACGCCUGA
rnacentral:lncRNA from 1 species